rnacentral:rRNA from 1 species
AACGAACGCUGGCGGCAUGCCUAAUACAUGCAAGUCGAACGAGAUCUUCGGAUCUAGUGGCGCACGGGUGCGUGACGCGUGGGAAUCUGCCCUUGGGUUCGGAAUAACGUCGGGAAACUGACGCUAAUACCGGAUGAUGACGUAAGUCCAAAGAUUUAUCGCCCAAGGAUGAGCCCGCGUAGGAUUAGCUAGUUGGUGAGGUAAAGGCUCACCAAGGCGACGAUCCUUAGCUGGUCUGAGAGGAUGAUCAGCCACACUGGGACUGAGACACGGCCCAGACUCCUACGGGAGGCAGCAGUAGGGAAUAUUGGACAAUGGGCGCAAGCCUGAUCCAGCAAUGCUGCGUGAGUGAUGAAGGCCUUAGGGUUGUAAAGCUCUUUUACCCGGGAUGAUAAUGACAGUACCGGGAGAAUAAGCCCCGGCUAACUCCGUGCCAGCCGCCGCAGUAA